AUAAGCGGAGGAAAAGAAACUAACAAGGAUUCCCCUAGUAACUGCGAGUGAAGCGGGAAAAGCUCAAAUUUAAAAUCUGGCGGUCUCUGGCCGUCCGAGUUGUAAUCUAGAGAAGUGUUAUCCGCGCUGGACCGUGUACAAGUCUCCUGGAAUGGAGCGUCAUAGAGGGUGAGAAUCCCGUCUUUGACACGGACUGCCAGGGCUUUGUGAUGCGCUCUCAAAGAGUCGAGUUGUUUGGGAAUGCAGCUCAAAAUGGGUGGUAAAUUCCAUCUAAAGCUAAAUAUUGGCGAGAGACCGAUAGCGAACAAGUACCGUGAGGGAAAGAUGAAAAGAACUUUGGAAAGAGAGUUAAACAGUACGUGAAAUUGCUGAAAGGGAAACGCUUGAAGUCAGUCGCGUUGGCCGGGGAUCAACCUUGCUUUUGCUGGGCGUACUUUCCGGUUGACGGGUCAGCAUCAAUUUUGACCGUUGGAUAAAGUCCAGGGGAAUGUGGCAUCUUCGGAUGUGUUAUAGCCCUUGGUCGCAUACAACGGUUGGGAUUGAGGAACUCAGCACGCCGCAAGGCCGGGUACUUGUACCACGUUCGUGCUUAGGAUGCUGGCAUAAUGGCUUUAAUCGACCCGUCUUGAAACACGGACCAAGGAGUCUAACAUGCCUGCGAGUGUUUGGGUGGAAAACUCGGACGCGUAAUGAAAGUGAAAGUUGAGAUCCCUGUCGUGGGGAGCAUCGACGCCCGGACCAGACCUUUUGUGACGGAUCCGCGGUAGAGCAUGUAUGUUGGGACCCGAAAGAUGGUGAACUAUGCCUGAAUAGGGUGAAGCCAGAGGAAACUCUGGUGGAGGCUCGUAGCG
rnacentral:rRNA from 1 species